UAUAUAGCCUUUAAUAUGACCCAUGUAUAUAAGGUUAGCUAAAAUGCACUGGACUUCAUCAAUGUCAACAUCAUCUACUUGCAUGAAUUUCAGAGCAAAAAGAAAGGCAUCCAGGGAUAGCUGGUGUGUUUUGAGUAGUAAAUAUACUUUCUUAAAGAGAUUUCUGUAUGUGAUGAUUUUCAGCUUCUCGAGGAUAAGAAAGAUUCCACAUCUAAUGAAGAAGGUCUCAUGCUUGGUCAGAGCUUCAUUCAGUAGGAGAAGAUUGCCUUCACUGACAGCCUUUGUUACUUCAGCAAACUGCAUAAGGUCAUACUUCUUUAAGAGCUGAACAGUUGGCAUAUGGCCCAACAACAUUUUUACUGGCAGCAGGUAGAUCAAAAUCAUUCUUUUGUUUUUCUGGCUUGACCGGUGACAGUGCUCAAAAGCAAACGACAGAUACUCUUCAGCUUGCUUAAAGUCACUGUCAAACAUGGCUUUGCGUCCAACGUAGUAUCUGUAUGUAACUCGCUGGGCCAUACUAUAUUCAUCCUUCAGGUUUGAACUGUCAAUUGCUCUAAUUAAGGGUUUACACAGAUGGAGUUUAUUGAUCUUAAAAUAAAUUUUGAACAGCUGAUUCACGAGAAACAACAUGCCCCACUUUUUGGAAUCUUCAAUGCCUGCUCGAGUGUCACUGGCACAGACUCGAAAACAGCUCAUCAGCAGUUCUGCUGCUUUUUCUAACAUGUCGCCAACUUUGCUCUUCCCCUUC
rnacentral:lncRNA from 1 species